rnacentral:rRNA from 1 species
UGGGGAAUAUUUGACAAUGGGGGAAACCCUGAUCAAGCGAUGCCGCGUGAUUGAAGAAGGCCUUCGGGUUGUAAAGAUCUUUCGUUGAGGGAGAAAAAACGAGUCCGAACAAGGCUCGUCCAUGACAUACUCAAAAAAGAAGGACCGGCAAACUACGUGCCAGCAGCCGCGGUAAAACGUAGGGUCCGAGCGUUAAUCGGAAUUACUGGGCGUAAAGCGUACGUAGGCGGUUGCCUAAGUCAGAUGUGAAAUCCCCGGGCUCAACCUGGGAACUGCGUUUGAUACUGGGUGGCUAGAGAUAGACAGAGGAAAGUAGAAUUCUCGCAAGUAGUGGUGAAAUGCGUAGAUAUGCGGAGGAAUACUCGUGGCGAAGGCGGCUUUCUGGGUCAUAUCUGACGCUGAAGUACGAAAGCGUGGGUAGCAAACAGG